rnacentral:rRNA from 1 species
GCUUAACACAUGCAAGUCGAACGAGACGAUUUAGAAGCUUGCUUUUAUUGAGUCGAGUGGCAAACGGGUGAGUAACGCGUAGACAACCUGCCGCAAAGAUGGGGACAACAGUCCGAAAGGACUGCUAAUACCGAAUGUUGUAUCUCCUCCGCAUGGAAGAGAUAUUAAAGAUGGCCUCUACUUGUAAGCUAUCGCUUUGCGAUGGGUCUGCGUCUGAUUAGCUAGUUGGUGGGGCAACGGCCUACCAAGGCGACGAUCAGUAGCCGGUCUGAGAGGAUGAACGGCCACAUUGGAACUGAGACACGGUCCAGACUCCUACGGGAGGCAGCAGUGGGGAAUCUUCCGCAAUGGGCGAAAGCCUGACGGAGCAACGCCGCGUGAGUGAAGAAGGUCUUCGGAUCGUAAAGCUCUGUUGUCGGGGACGAAUGUUGAGACCUAGAACAUAGGUUUCAAAUGACGGUACCUGACGAGGAAGCCACGGCUAACUACGUG